GAUGAACGCUGGCGGCGUGCCUAAUACAUGCAAGUCGAGCGAAUGGAUUAAGAGCUUGCUCUUAUGAAGUUAGCGGCGGACGGGUGAGUAACACGUGGGUAACCUGCCUAUAAGACUGGGAUAACUCCGGGAAACCGGGGCUAAUACCGGAUAAUAUUUUGAACUGCAUGGUUCAAAAUUGAAAGGAGGCUUCGGCUGUCACUUAUGGAUGGACCCGGGUCGCAUUAGCUAGUUGGUGAGGUAACGGCUCACCAAGGCAACGAUGCGUAGCCGACCUGAGAGGGUGAUCGGCCACACUGGGACUGAGACACGGCCCAGACUCCUACGGGAGGCAGCAGUAGGGAAUCUUCCGCAAUGGACGAAAGUCUGACGGAGCAACGCCGCGUGAGUGAUGAAGGCUUUCGGGUCGUAAAACUCUGUUGUUAGGGAAGAACAAGUGCUAGUUGAAUAAGCUGGCACCUUGACGGUACCUAACCAGAAAGCCACGGCUAACUACGUGCCAGCCGCCGCCGUAA
rnacentral:rRNA from 1 species